UACGAAGGGGGCUAGCGUUGCUCGGAAUCACUGGGCGUAAAGGAUGCGUAGGCGGACAUUUAAGUCAGAUGUGAAAUACCCGAGCUUAACUUGGGUGCUGCAUUUGAAACUGGGUGUCUAGAGUGCAGGAGAGGUAAGUGGAAUUCCUAGUGUAGCGGUGAAAUGCGUAGAGAUUAGGAAGAACACCAGUGGCGAAGGCGACUUACUGGCCCGUAACUGACGCUGAGGCGCGAAAGCGUGGGGAGCAAACAGG
rnacentral:rRNA from 1 species